rnacentral:lncRNA from 1 species
GCAGGAUGUCAGAAUCUCAAACCACAUGGGACCGAGAGCCAAGGGUUCAAGAUUGUUAUGAUCUUCCUUUGUGCCCAAGUGCCACAGAGCUCAGAUGUCAGGUGUUGAAGAAAUAUAAUCUAAAAGGACUGAAAGGCAAUCUUUUGGACUCUUAAAGCAUUUUACUAAUAACCGGCACUGGCCCUUUAUAGGAGUAAAAUCCCAUUUGGAUUCAGCACGACUGUAUAAGAUUAGGUCAAGGCUCACAAGACAAGGAGAAAGGACUCAUCUCCAGGGCACUUUGCUGGUGUUUUCCUCAAAAAGGAAUUUGCUUUCAAACAGACAUGCAUUCACUAAUCUCUUUUCUUUAAAAAAAAAAAAAAAAGGGAAGAAAGAAGAGAAAAGAAAGAAAGAAAACCACAAACACAGAAUCUCUUCCAACUCAGCUGACUGAGUCCAGUGGGGAUGACAACAGCAUUCAUUUGCGUGAUCCCACAGAGCUGGGGUCCAGGAUAAAAAUAAAUGUGACUUUUCAAAUCGAGACAUAGUGUUGCUUUGUUUAUAACUCAAUUAAAGAACAGGCAUUACAAUGUUAUUGUAUGAUGGCGAGAUAAUGAAGAGAGCCACAUUUUUUGGGCUACAAUAAAGCAACACCUGUGCUUGAAAGAUUGGCAUCAGUAUCUUAAGAAAGCCAGAAGGGGACAGUUCCUGAUUUCCAGGGGGCUGUUCCGAGUGUGGUGAGGGUGGAGGAGAAAAGGGACAAAAUCCUUAUACCUACCAGAGUCAACCAGCUUGGUCCAGAUCUAUACCAGAUGGUUAUGUUUCAUAUUUACUGAUAUUUCCUGUAG